rnacentral:rRNA from 1 species
UAACACAUGCAAGUCGAGCGGAGCACUUUUGCAGAUUUCUUCGGAUUGAAGCAAUUGUGACUGAGCGGCGGACGGGUGAGUAACGCGUGGGUAACCUGCCUCAUACAGGGGGAUAACAGUUGGAAACGGCUGCUAAUACCGCAUAAGCGCACAGUACCGCAUGGUACCGUGUGAAAAACUCCGGUGGUAUGAGAUGGACCCGCGUCUGAUUAGCUAGUUGGUGGGGUAACGGCCUACCAAGGCGACGAUCAGUAGCCGACCUGAGAGGGUGACCGGCCACAUUGGGACUGAGACACGGCCCAAACUCCUACGGGAGGCAGCAGUGGGGAAUAUUGCACAAUGGGGGAAACCCUGAUGCAGCGACGCCGCGUGAGCGAUGAAGUAUUUCGGUAUGUAAAGCUCUAUCAGCAGGGAAGAAAAUGACGGUACCUGACUAAGAAGCCCCGGCUAACUACGUGCCAGCAGCCGCGGUAAUACGUAGGGGGCAAGCGUUAUCCGGAUUUACUGGGUGUAAAGGGAGCGUAGACGGCAUGGCAAGCCAGAUGUGAAAGCCCGGGGCUCAACCCCGGGACUGCAUUUGGAACUGUCAGGCUAGAGUGUCGGAGAGGAAAGCGGAAUUCCUAGUGUAGCGGUGAAAUGCGUAGAUAUUAGGAGGAACACCAGUGGCGAAGGCGGCUUUCUGGACGAUGACU